rnacentral:rRNA from 1 species
UACGUAGGGUGCGAGCGUUGUCCGGAAUUACUGGGCGUAAAGAGCUCGUAGGUGGUUUGUCGCGUUGUUCGUGAAAACCGGGGGCUUAACCCUCGGCGUGCGGGCGAUACGGGCAGACUUGAGUACUGCAGGGGAGACUGGAAUUCCUGGUGUAGCGGUGGAAUGCGCAGAUAUCAGGAGGAACACCAAUAGCGAAGGCAGCUCGCUGGGACGGUAUUGACGCUGAGGCGCGAAAGCGUGGGGAGCAAACAGG